CCUACGGGUGGCAGCAGUGGGGAAUAUUGGACAAUGGGCGAAAGCCUGAUCCAGCCAUGCCGCGUGUGUGAAGAAGGCCUUCGGGUUGUAAAGCACUUUCAGUGGGGAAGAAAGCCUUGGGGCUAAUACCCUCGAGGAAGGACAUCACCCACAGAAGAAGCACCGGCUAACUCCGUGCCAGCAGCCGCGGUAAUACGGAGGGUGCGAGCGUUAAUCGGAAUUACUGGGCGUAAAGCGCGCGUAGGCGGUCUGAUAAGCCGGUUGUGAAAGCCCCGGGCUCAACCUGGGAACGGCAUCCGGAACUGUCAGGCUAGAGUGCAGGAGAGGAAGGUAGAAUUCUCGGUGUAGCGGUGAAAUGCGUAGAGAUCGGGAGGAAUACCAGUGGCGAAGGCGGCCUUCUGGACUGACACUGACGCUGAGGUGCGAAAGCGUGGGUAGCAAACAGGAUUAGAUACCCUGGUAGUC
rnacentral:rRNA from 1 species